rnacentral:tRNA from 1 species
GCCCCCGUAGCUCAGUGGAUAGAGCACCGGCCUCCGGAGCCGGGAGCAGGCGUUCGAGUCGCCUCGGGGGUA